CCUAGUAGACGGUAACUUGCCAUCCGCUGACAGCGCUGGCAGCGGCGCUGCUUUAGUAGACGCAGCCCUAAGUUAUAUUUUGUUCAGCACUCUUCGAAGCUUCGAAGCUGCAGCAAGGUUCGAAGCUGCAACAGGAGACAGCAACAGAACAAGCCAGGCCUGCAGAGGAGCCACCAAAGCCUGAGAAGAAAUUCGCAUUUACAAUUCAGGAACCAUCCACGAUUAGAAAUGCUGAUCAGCGUCUGCCAGCCCUGAAGACUCAGACUAUAACUCCUACGAAGACAAUGAGUCCACGGAGGAAAUCAACAGAUGGUGUAGCAUGGAUGUGAACUUCGGGCAACGAUGCAGUACUCCGAAUGCAACCACGCGCUACUACCACGACAACGCCACUCACACGUGCAAACAGUUUCACUAUGAAGGUUGCAACGGGAACGAAAACAACUUCGAAAGUAAACUCGUUUGCAUGAGAAUGUGUCGAUAUGAUGGCGAGGAAGUUCCGAGUGAGGAAGACACAAGUGAAGAAGCUGUCAUUCCGACAGUGUGCACGCGGACACCUGCCAACUCCCACCGCGUAAAUUCUCGUAGGUGUCCCACCAAGGGGAAAAGGCGAUUUUUCUACAACGCUAGUGCAUCUACAUGCGAAGCGGUUAGAUGUACAGGGCCGGCCCAAAACUACUUCGAAACGAAAAAGGAGUGUAAACGAAGAUGUAUUGAGAUACCGAAAACAGUAUGUGGCCUCAAGGAGCAAGCUGGUCCAUGCAGAGCUAAACUUCGCAAGUGGUAUUUCAACGGAGAAACGGAUAAUUGCGAACAAUUCGAUUACGGCGGAUGCUACGGCAACGGCAACAAGUUCGAAAGUAAAGAUGCUUGCAAAAAUGAGUGCAUGAAAAAACGAGGUGUGGCAAAACCUAGGUUGUCCCGAUUGGGUAAUAUUGAGUAACUCCGUGUUGCUAUGGUGUGAAUAAAAAGUGUUGCACCAGUU